rnacentral:lncRNA from 1 species
GAGUGGGAGCUGGCGAGAAUAAUGAAGGUGGGAGGAGGCCAUUAAUGCUCCAGCAGGAGCUCGCGAGGUUCGCUGCUAUGGGAUCAUCGUCGUCUAAUAAUAAUUCAGCUGCUGCUAUGGAGCUUCAUCCCAAUUUCAGGUCUUCAUCAUCAUCAGCUGGCCUUAACUGAGCUGGACUUUCUAGCUAUCUAGCAGGUAAACAAACCAUCCUUCUUUCUUUUGUUCUAAU